CGGAAGCUGCGCCAUCAUGCUCGUUUUCGCGUGCGUUCGCGUCGCGCGCUGUGCGAAGUAAUUUUAAACGUGUGAUUAGUUUUGCGCGCGGGGUAGAAAAAGAUGUGGCCCAUGCUUUGUGUAUUACUCGUGCCGCACUUCAAAGCAAAGCGUUCGUACGCACUGGAAGAUGGAUCCACGAAGGCUGAAACGAGAAGUUGCAACGUGCCGGUCGAUAGUACUGGCAUGAUGGAAACUUUCAGCGAGUGUUCCCGCCUGAAAGCCGAGUUUGGUUUCAAGCCACCCUGGACAACUGCUGUAUGAGGCGCCGUUUCUCGGGAGGACCAGUGGGAAGGCGCCAAGUAUACGCUUCGUCCUUUUUCCUCCCAUGCCCUAAUGAAUCGAUAUCCUUGUUUUUUAUUGUGAAAGGAACGUUACAUCCAGAGCAUAAAUAAAUGAUUAGGAAAUCUGGUAGUGUGUUUCGCCAUUACAAUAAUUCCGAUCUUAAAGACGUGGAUUUCCCAUUAGCCCACAUUUCUUUUGAUGCAGACAACCGCUGAAAUUGUUAGCGGCAGGUUAUUCGAGACGUUCUACGUAUAUAGCAAUUGUCUUCAGGAGCUUUAAUGAAUAUUGAAAAUUUGAAGUGUUGUGCUUUAGAGGUAUCAUAUAUAAUCUUUAGGUCUCUGGGUAAUUUGCAUGCCCUUCAAGAGCUGUCGCCUAUAGCCCUAUUGAAAUUCGUAACUACAGUUUGGAGCACUGGGGAAGCUAGAAGGCUUGCCCUGGCUCUCGAGAAAGUGUUUAAGCUGGAGGUGUAGGUUGAGGAGUUUGGGGUUGGUAACACAAAGGAUUUUUUAUGCCUUAGCAGUAGGAGUGACACAGGAUAAAAAAAUGUAUGUGUGUCAAGCACAGGAAGCUGCUCGUGUGGUAGAAGCAUGUGUGCGUGUGUGUGUGUGUGCGCGUGUGUGUGUGCGCCCAUGCAUGCGUGCGUGUGUGUGAAUUCUCUCCUCAAAAGGGAGUAUGUGUGUGAGCUAUUUCAUUGCUGGUCUGUUUGCCAAGAAUUGGAAGAAAACACAAUAAUCAAUUUAACUUGAAAUAAUAAACUUCAAAGCAUACUGGCGUACUGGCGACAGCAGCAUACAAGCAUGCAGCUGUGUGACAAUCUUAAUGCAUGACUGCAACAUCUGGAAGGAGGCUUGCUUCUUCAGUAAGCAGCACAAAGUCCAUAUUCUUGGCUUUUCUCGUGCAAACCAAAACGAGGCUCAUUGCCAAUGAUCUUGUCUUUUGCUCUAAUAGCAUUUGUUUAUCUUGUACUUAGAGCGUUGUUUCUCGCAGGUCAUGCAGAUGGUAGCAGCGAUUUCACAAUGCCCAGCCUUGGCGCCCCCCAUCAAGAGCAAGCCACUUGCUUUCGCCUUCAGACAGAUGGUUAACGUCUUCUUGAAAGCGGUUGAGAAGACAACAUUGCUGCAAGAUUCCAGCAAUGCCAUGCGCUGCAUUUAUUGGUCAAGAUGCUCAGAGAAUGGAGUCCCUGCACCUCGUGGUUAACCGUGAACAUUUCUUUUUCUUUUGGAAAGCUAAAGGCCAUUUGCUGCAUCACUUGCAUUUUUGCAGCUCAGAUGUGUACUAUAUUUUUCUAAUUUUGAAUCAAUAUUGGCUAUUCAGUAUAAAAAAUGACGUACAGCGUGAAGGACAAGGACUGCGAGAGACACACUCCACUGACUUUCAACAAUAUUUUAUUGCGUUGCCACAUCGUAUGUGUAUACACAGAGGGGUCAUGCGCAGAAAAUGAAAGCCAGACACAAGGGGUGUUCUAACAGCAAGUCAUUGUAAAAAGAACAUGGUCACUUGAAAAAAAAAAACAUCACAAUUUCUAUCUGUUUAGAUACAAAAUUUCACUAGGGGUCAGCGUGAUAGAGGGGGCACUAACGCACACACUACCCAGUUUUCUGGUGAAAU